AGAAGCCAGUCUGACAAAGUUAGCCGACCGUCAGAACCGAGUCUUGCGCUUAUGAUGGUAACAUCAUGAGUGAAGCGUAGACAGGGAGGCAGCAGGCCGUAAUCCGUAAGGGUGAAGGUGUCCAGCUCCGAAAAUGCUUAUGUUGUGGAGCAAGUCGACGUGGUUAGGAACGCGGAAGACAGCAACGAAGCCAUCGCUACAGGCGAGAUGGCGAAUACUCCACCGGGGUCAUAGUCCA
rfam:Thermodesulfovibrio sp. RBG_19FT_COMBO_42_12 rbg_19ft_combo_scaffold_9678, whole genome shotgun sequence.